AUGCAUGAUGGGUAUUUCAGAUAUGUAGCCACAUCUUAGGGCCUCAUUUCUAGGAGGGAUAAUUAAAAAUGUACAAAAUCAAAGUCCUGUCACCUGUGUUGCAAGCCAUUCUAAACACGGAUUGAUCAAUGUAAUGAUGAUAACAAUACAGAAUGUUAAUUCUAUGUGCCAUGCAUAGAUAAAUCAGAAUUACGAUUCUACUCUUAAUUGACAAAGCUGCACGUUCAGGCAGGCGCAAUGCAAUGCACCUAAAAGUAAAAGAAUAUUACAAGAACGCCUCAAGCAUCAGGAGGGCGCAAUGCACCUUAACAGUUGUGUGACAGACUUAACCAAAUAUUUUCUUAAGUAAAUCUUUGACACAAUAAUCUGCCAAUGGUCCUUUUCCAGGUCCUUGAUGCGCUUUGGCACAUGCUUGUGCGCAAGCAUUCUCGCAGUCUUGUAAAGGUGCCCCUUUCUCAUUGCACACAGGCAUGCAAUCUUGACUGCAUUGAGGGUCCAAAUAAAUAGCUCUACACGUCGUUACCGUAAGCAUAGAGAUCAAGAAAAUCAAACAUACCUUCUUAUCAUGCAUUGUGUUUUCUGUAACACCCUUCAAUCCUUCUAAGCCAAAUGAAUAAGUUGUGCUGUGGUUCUGAAUAAAAGUGCAAUCACACUCAGAAUACAAGAGUUAGGUGAUUUGUAAAGGCUAUACAAUCUUUCAAAGACUUUGAUGCUUGGUUUUGAUCUUCAACAGGAUUAAAUUGUAUUUAAGGGAAACCUGAUAAAUUUGUUGAAGUUUGGGAAGUAAGAAUUGGUCAAAAUGGAUAAAGGAAUUUCAAC
rnacentral:lncRNA from 1 species